rnacentral:lncRNA from 1 species
UAAAGAACAUGUUCCAUUGAAGAUGGGGGAUAAUUGCUGGGAUAUAGCAACAAGCCUACAGUAGGCAAAGUUUGAUUCUAUGAAGCAUCAAAUCCUAGUCCUUAAAUAACAUAAUCUAAAAAAAGAUGCUGUCAACAAAGUCUUCAGUAGAAUAUGAAAGCCUUGAGUUUCAAGCAGGCCUUGACUUUUCCCAGCUUCUCCUUUGGUUUAUUGUCAGUGUCGUGCUUCGUUCUUUACUAGUUUACAUAACAUCUAGCUCACAACAGAAAAUUUUUCUCUCUCCCUCAGUUUCUUUUGCAUAAAAUUCACCAUUAUUGCUUUAGAAUCUGGAUGUUGUCCAUGAACAUAGACUGAUGGAGAAGAAUGCUCGACAAAUAUGUUCUUAGGCAAGGAAUUACCUAUGGAGCUUAUGCCCUCCAACUUAGUAGUGAUUCUGAAACAUGAAAAGGAUGGAAGGAAAAGGACAUGACAGAGUAGUUUAAGGCUCUCAGUUGACCACGAGCGAAGAGAAGAUCAACUAACGAGACUUUGAAGAUCACUUAAUUUUGACACCAAAAGAUAAAUUGA